UAUUGAUUGCAUGUGUUUAAACAUAAGACAUUUGCUCCUGUAUCUUUGAUCCAAGUAAUAUAAGACUAUACUUAGGGAAAAGGAAAACAAAGCACGAAUGUGGUUUUGAGCAUUUACAUGUAAAAGCAUAAUACUAAUAACGCUAUCACCUUGGAGUAUAACUCAAAUAGACACCUAGUAUUCUAUAAAAAUCAAUUUAAAGAAAAACAGACACUGUGUUCUGACUUGUUUAAGCCAAAGUUUGCAUUGGAUGUACAUUCGGGGCAUAUUUUGCUUGUAUUGUUCAGGUAUUUAUGUCAUUUGGAAGGAGAUGAUUUUCAGUUGCCAGCAAUGUAACUGAUCUUCCAAACUCGCUGACAAUCUUUAUCACAGAAAUAGAAUUCCAACAAUUAGGUUCCCACAGCCGAUGCUCUGUGGCUUCCCCCCUCUGUAUUCUUGCACCAGUGAGUCAUUUCCCUGUCUACCUUCUGCCUACACAGAGUCCAGGUGCUGACAGCUUCUCAUGGAUAUUGAGCAUGAAACCAAAGUGAUUUACUGAAUCAAGACUACAUUAAAGUAUUUCCUUUUUGUUGACUUU